UCGACCUGAGCUCAAGCAAGACCACCCGCUGAACUUAAGCAUAUCAAUAAGCGGAGGAAAAGAAACUAACAAGGAUUCCCUUAGUAAUGGCGAAUGAAACGGGAAUAGCCCAACUUGAAAAUCUCCCUUUGGAGAAUUGUAGUCUAGAGAAGCGCCCUCUGCGGCGGCCGGAGCC
rnacentral:rRNA from 1 species